rnacentral:rRNA from 1 species
UUGGAGGGCAAGUCUGGUGCCAGCAGCCGCGGUAAUUCCAGCUCCAAUAGCGUAUAUUAAAGUUGUUGCAGUUAAAAAGCUCGUAGUUGAAUUUCGGGGUCAGCAGGUUGGUCGUGCCACUGGUAUGCACUGGCCUUGCUGAUUCCUCCCUCUUGAUGAGCCGUAACGUCAUUAAUUUGGUGUUGCGGGGAAUCAGGACUGUUACUUUGAAAAAAUUAGAGUGUUUAAAGCAGGCAAGCGCUUGAAUACAUUAGCAUGGAAUAAUGAAAUAGGACGUUUGAUCCUAUUUUGUUGGUUUCUAGGAUUGACGUAAUGAUUAAUAGGGAUAGUUGGGGGCAUUAGUAUUCAAUUGUCAGAGGUGAAAUUCUUGGAUUUAUUGAAGACUAACUACUGCGAAAGCAUUUGCCAAGGAUGUUUUCAUUAAUCAGGAACGAAAGUUAGGGGAUCGAAGACGAUCAGAUACCGUCGUAGUCUUAACCAUAAACUAUGCCGACUAGGGAUCGGACGGUGUUAUUUUUUGACCCGUUCGGCACCUUACGGGAAAC